rnacentral:misc_RNA from 1 species
AAAGGUUGUGUUAUAUGGAUCACAGGUCUCAGUGGUUCAGGAAAGAGUACAGUAGCAUGUCAUUUGAGUAAAAUCUUGACUCAAAUGGGAAAGUUGACUUACAUUCUUGAUGGAGACAAUCUCAGGCAUGGUUUAAAUAGUGAUCUUAGUUUUAAAGCUGAAGAUCGUGCGGAGAACAUUCGAAGAGUUGGGGAGGUGGCAAAGCUCUUUUCAGAUGCAGGAGUCAUAUGCAUUGCCUGUCUAAUUUCUCCAUACAGAAGGGAUAGAGAAGCUUGUCGCAAAAUUUUGCCAAAUGGAGAUUUUAUUGAGGUGU